rnacentral:piRNA from 1 species
UUUUAAAUUUAGAUUGAUGGGACACUUUC